rnacentral:rRNA from 1 species
GUGGGGAAUAUUGUGCAAUGGGCGAAAGCCUGACGCAGCGACGCCGCGUGAGGGAUGAAGGUUUUCGGAUCGUAAACCUCUGUCAGAAGGGAAGAAACUACGUUGUGCUAAUCAGCAGCGUACUGACGGUACCUUCAAAGGAAGCACCGGCUAACUCCGUGCCAGCAGCCGCGGUAAUACGGAGGGUGCAAGCGUUAAUCGGAAUUACUGGGCGUAAAGCGCACGUAGGCUGUAGUGUAAGUCAGGGGUGAAAUCCCACGGCUCAACCGUGGAACUGCCUUUGAUACUGCACAACUGUAAUCCGGGAGAGGGUGGCGGAAUUCCAGGUGUAGGAGUGAUAUCCGUAGAUAUCUGGAGGAACAUCAGUGGCGAAGGCGGCCUGCUGGACAUUAACUGACGCUGAGGCGCGAAAGCGUGGGGAACAAACAGGAUUAGAUACCCGUGUAGUCC